UACGAAGGGGGCUAGCGUUGUUCGGAAUUACUGGGCGUAAAGCGCACGUAGGCGGGUUUGUAAGUAGGGGGUGAAAUCCCAGAGCUCAACUCUGGAACUGCCUUCUAAACUGCAAGCCUGGAGGUCAGGAGAGGCGAGUGGAAUACCGAGUGUAGAGGUGAAAUUCGUAGAUAUUAGGAAGAACACCAGUGGCGAAGGCGGCUCACUGGUCCGGUACUGACGCUGAGGUGCGAAAGCGUGGGGAGCAAACAGG
rnacentral:rRNA from 1 species